rnacentral:rRNA from 1 species
UACGUAGGGGGCAAGCGUUGUCCGGAAUCAUUGGGCGUAAAGCGCGUGUAGGCGGCCUUGUAAGUCCGUUCUGAAAGCCCGGGGCUCAACCCCGGGAGGCGGAUGGAUACUGCAAGGCUCGAGUACGGAAGAGGCGAGUGGAAUUCCCGGUGUAGCGGUGAAAAUGCGUAGAUAUCGGAAGGAACAUCAGUGGCGAAAGCGAACUUCCUGGACCAGUACCGACGUUCAGGCACGAAAGCGUGGGGAGCAAACAGG